rnacentral:tRNA from 1 species
AGGAUAAUAGUUAAACAUAACAGUUGAGUUGCAUUCAAAAAGUACUGAUAUUUUCAGUUUAUCUUU